rnacentral:rRNA from 1 species
UAGAGUUUUAUCCUGGCUCAGAUUGAACGCUGGCGGCGUGCCUUACACAUGCAAGUCGAACGGCAGCACGGACUUCGGUCUGGUGGCGGGUGGCGAACGGGUGAGUAAUACAUCGGAACGUGCCUAGUAGUGGGGGAUAACUACUCGAAAGAGUGGCUAAUACCGCAUGAGAUCUACGGAUGAAAGCAGGGGAUCGCAAGACCUUGUGCUACUAGAGCGGCCGAUGGCAGAUUAGGUAGUUGGUGGGAUAAAAGCUUACCAAGCCGACGAUCUGUAGCUGGUCUGAGAGGACGAUCAGCCACACUGGGACUGAGACACGGCCCAGACUCCUACGGGAGGCAGCAGUGGGGAAUUUUGGACAAUGGGCGCAAGCCUGAUCCAGCAAUGCCGCGUGCAGGAUGAAGGCCUUCGGGUUGUAAACUGCUUUUGUACGGAACGAAAAGCUCUGGGCUAAUACCUCGGAGUCAUGACGGUACCGUAAGAAUAAGCACCGGCUAACUACGUGCCAGCAGCCGCGGUAAUACGUAGGGUGCAAGCGUUAAUCGGAAUUACUGGGCGUAAAGCGUGCGCAGGCGGUUUUGUAAGACAGAGGUGAAAUCCCCGGGCUCAACCUGGGAACUGCCUUUGUGACUGCAAGGCUAGAGUACGGCAGAGGGGGAUGGAAUUCCGCGUGUAGCAGUGAAAUGCGUAGAUAUGCGGAGGAACACCGAUGGCGAAGGCAAUCCCCUGGGCCUGUACUGACGCUUAUGCACGAAAGCGUGGGGAGCAAACAGGACUAGAUACCCUGGUAGUCCACGCCCUAAACGAU